GUAAUAGUCACAUGUACAGGGUUACAGGUGUUAUUACAGUGUUUAAUAGUCACAUGUACAGGGUUACAGGUGUUAUUACAGUGUUUAAUAGUCACAUGUACAGGGUUACAGGUGUUAUUACAGUGUUUAAUAGUCACAUGUACAGGGUUACAGGUGUUAUUACAGUGUUUAAUAGUCACAUGUACAGGGUUACAUGUGUUAUUACAGGGUACAGGCUAGCAGGUAUUUAACUGUCUGGGUGUGAGGUAGAGGUGGCUGGGCUAGCAGGUAUUUAACUGUCUGGGUGUGAGGUAGAGGUGGCUGGGCUAGCAGGUAGUGACAGUCUGGGUGUGGGGUAGAGGUGGCUGGGCUAGUAGGUAGUGACAGUCUGGGUGUGGGGUAGAGGUGGCUGGGCUAGCAGGUAGUGACAGUCUGGGUGUGGGGUAGAGGUGGCUGGGCUAGCAGGUAGUGACAGUCUGGGUGACAUGAUCUUCUGCUGUCCUCCCCUUGUCUUCCAGGGAGACCGUCAGUAGCAGACUGCGGUGUUUCAGAAGAUAGACCCUGUCUGGACUAUGUCACAUUUCUGGACGUGGUUUUAUAUUGUCUCUUUGUCCCCCUCAGUUCCAGGAAGCAGACUGCCAGUCUGAGCAGCAAUCUGCAGAGUUUGGAGAAGUCCCAGGGAGAGAUGCAGAGUAGACUGGGCUCACUGCAGAACCAACAGCUCCAGGACGCUAACAAGCUGCAGUCACAGCUAACCCAGGCUGCUAGCAGGACACAGAGCCUGCAGAGAGAGGUACGAUACAGUACACACACAGUUAACCCAGGCUGCUAGCAGGACACAGAGCCUGCAGAGAGAGGUACGAUACAGUACACACACAGUUAACCCAGGCUGCUAGCAGGACACAGAGCCUGCAGAGAGAGGUACGAUACAGUACACACACAGUUAACCCAGGCUGCUAGCAGGACACAGAGCCUGCAGAGAGAGGUACGAUACAGUACACACACAGUUAACCCAGGCUGCUAGCAGGACACAGAGCCUGCAGAGAGAGGUACGAUACAGUACACACACAGUUAACCCAGGCUGCUAGCAGGACACAGAGCCUGCAGAGAG